CACUUCUAAGGAAGGCAGCAGGCGCGCAAAUUACCCAAUCCUGACUCAGGGAGGUAGUGACAAGAAAUAACAAUAAACCGGCUUAUGCCGGUUUAAUUGGAAUGAGUACAAUUUAAACAUCUUAACGAGGAACAAUUGGAGGGCAAGUCUGGUGCCAGCAGCCGCGGUAAUUCCAGCUCCAAUAGCGUAUACUAAAGUUGUUGCAGUUAAAAAGCUCGUAGUUGGAUUUCUGUGGGGACGGAGCGGCCGGCCGCAACACGCGGUUCGAGCUAGCGCUUUCCCUACAUCCUGCCGCGAACCGUGCUACCAUUAGUUUGGUGGCGCCGGGGAUCGGCUCGAUUACUUUGAGAAAAAUAGAGUGUUCAAAGCAGGCCACAUGCCUUGAAUAAGUUAGCAUGGAAUAAUAACUAAGGACUUCGGUUCUAUUUUGUUGGUGUUCGGGACUGAAGUAAUGAUUGAUAGGGACAGUUGGGGCGGUCUGUAUUCCAAAGCGAGAGGUGAAAUUCUUAGACCUUCGGAAGACAAACAGCUGCGAAAGCGUUCCGCAAGGAUGUUCCCUUUGAUCAAGAACGAAAGUUGGGGGAUCGAAGACGAUCAGAUACCGUCGUAGUCUCAACUAUAAACUAUACCAGCUAGGGAUCGGCCAACGUUAUUUUAUACCGACUUGGUCGGCACCUUAUGAGAAAUCAAAGCAUCUGGGUUCCGGGGGGAGUAUGGUCGCAAGGCUGAAACUUAAAGGAAUUGACGGAAGGGCACCACCAGCCGUGGAGCCUGUGGCUUAAUUUGACUCAACACGGGAAAACUUACCAGGUCCAGACAUAGUAAGGAUUGACAGAUUGAUAGCUCUUUCUUGAUUCUGUGGGUGGUGGUGCAUGGCCGUUCUUAGUUGGUGGAGUGAUUUGUCUGGUUAAUUCCGUUAACGAACGAGACCCCAGCCUGCUAAAUAGCGCGCGUGUGCUUUUGCACGCGGUGAGCUUCUUAGAGGGACCAUGGCUCGCAACACAGACCAGGGAAGUUUGGGGCAAUAACAGGUCUGUGAUGCCCUUAGAUGUUCUGGGCCGCACACGGGCUACACUGAUGCGUGCAACGAGCAUAUCAGCUGGCUAGAAAUAGUCUUUGGCUAACCUUUUGAACUCGCAUCGUGCUAGGGAUUGACUAUUGCAAUUGUUAGUCAUGCAACGAGGAAUACCUUGUAAACGCGAGUCAUCAACUCGCGUUGAAUACGUCCCUGCCCUUUGUACACACCGCCCGUCGCUCCUACCGAUGAAUGUUCCGAUGAAAUUUUCGGAGGAGUCCGAUGACCCGGGCUUUGCCUGGCGAUCUGGUAUCGCGAAGUUGCUUAAAUCUGAACAUUUCGAGG
rnacentral:rRNA from 1 species